GUAUUUGCAGUAUCUGAUACCGGAAUUGGUAUUCCGAAGAAGGACCUGCCGAGAAUCUUU
rnacentral:sRNA from 1 species